rnacentral:rRNA from 1 species
UGGGGAAUUUUGGACAAUGGGCGAAAGCCUGAUCCAGCAAUGCCGCGUGUGUGAAGAAGGCCUUCGGGUUGUAAAGCACUUUUGUCCGGAAAGAAAUCCUUGGCUCUAAUACAGUCGGGGGAUGACGGUACCGGAAGAAUAAGCACCGGCUAACUACGUGCCAGCAGCCGCGGUAAUACGUAGGGUGCAAGCGUUAAUCGGAAUUACUGGGCGUAAAGCGUGCGCAGGCGGUUUGCUAAGACCGAUGUGAAAUCCCCGGGCUCAACCUGGGAACUGCAUUGGGUGACUGGCAGGCUAGAGUAUGGCAGAGGGGGGUAGAAUUCCACGUGUAGCAGUGAAAUGCGUAGAGAUGUGGAGGAAUACCGAUGGCGAAGGCAGCCCCCUGGGCCAAUACUGACGCUCAUGCACGAAAGCGUGGGGAGCAAACAGGAUUAGAUACCCUGGUAGUCCACGCCCUAAACGAUGUCAACUAGUUGUUGGGGAUUCAUUUCCUAGUAACGUAGCUAACGCGUGAAGUUGACCGCCUGGGGUGUACGGUCGCAAGAUUAAAACUC